rnacentral:rRNA from 1 species
CCUACGGGAGGCAGCAGUGGGGAAUAUUGCACAAUGGGGGAAACCCUGAUGCAGCGACGCCGCGUGAGUGAAGAAGUAUUUCGGUAUGUAAAGCUCUAUCAGCAGGGAAGAAAAUGACGGUACCUGAUUAAGAAGCCCCGGCUAACUACGUGCCAGCAGCCGCGGUAAGACGUAGGGGGCAAGCGUUAUCCGGAUUUACUGGGUGUAAAGGGAGCGUAGACGGCAGCACAAGUCUGGAGUGAAAUGCCGGGGCUUAACCCCGGAACUGCAUUGGAAACUGUGCAGCUAGAGUGCAGGAGAGGUAAGUGGAAUUCGUAGUGUAGCGGUGAAAUGCGUAGAUAUUAGGAGGAACACCAGUGGCGAAGGCGGCUUACUGGACUGUAACUGACGUUGAGGCUCGAAAGCGUGGGGAGCAAACAGGAUUAGAUACCCCAGUAGUC